rnacentral:miRNA from 1 species
CAGGAAACAGGACCUUUGCCU